UCACAAACUGAAAAUGAAUAUGAUUUCUUAAUAUCUUAAGCUAUAGGCAUUCUGCGCGCCUUGUUCCCCCAUCUUCUUCAAUGAAUUUCGACGGGAUGUCCAAAUGAUUUGUGUGUAAUACAAAUCCUCUUAUUAAUAAUUAUCACUACUUAAACAGUUCAACCCUUUUUAGAUGCAAGUUUCUCUACAAGAGCUUUGCCUUCCUUCAGAGAUUUCAAGAAAUUUCGGCAAGAAAAGGAAACAGAGAGGAGACAGACAUUUACCUUUCGAAAGAGCAAGAAACCAACUCGAGUUAAAAUAAAUGUCGGAGUGAUGAGACUCACCAUUGGCACACUGAAAUAUCAACGGGGAACAUUAUUGCCAAUAGAAGUCUUCCCUAGCAAUACAGAAACGGAUGUCCUAAAGGUGGCAACAGACAAGCAUCAUAAAACAAUAAGAUGCUCCCAACAGAGGAAUACAUUCUGUUAUAUAAAGAUGGAUCCAGGGCUAGUAGUAUACCGGGAACAACAAAUGUUUUUACUGUCAGAGGGUAUAAAGAUUUUCUUGGAAAGCCAUUCCAGAAUAUGCAAUUGUACAUAUGCCCGAAAACAGAAUUUGAAUCAAAUGUAUCGAACAGCAGCGAUUCUGAUGACCUCCCAGAUCCAAAACUGAAU